GAGUGGCGAACGGGUGAGUAAUACAUCGGAACGUGCCCAGUAGUGGGGGAUAGCCCGGCGAAAGCCGGAUUAAUACCGCAUACGACCUACGGGUGAAAGCAGGGGAUCGCAAGACCUUGCGCUAUUGGAGCGGCCGAUGUCAGAUUAGGUAGUUGGUGGGGUAAAAGCCUACCAAGCCGACGAUCUGUAGCUGGUCUGAGAGGACGACCAGCCACACUGGGACUGAGACACGGCCCAGACUCCUACGGGAGGCAGCAGUGGGGAAUUUUGGACAAUGGGCGCAAGCCUGAUCCAGCCAUGCCGCGUGCGGGAAGAAGGCCUUCGGGUUGUAAACCGCUUUUGUCAGGGAAGAAACGCUCUGGGCUAAUACCCU
rnacentral:rRNA from 1 species